rnacentral:lncRNA from 1 species
UGGACCCAAGCAUUUUGCAAUUGCGAUCUUAAAUCCUAAUCAACUAUUGAAAGUGUGCAAUUUAGUCCCUAUUCUUUGGAUUUUGCCAUUUUCACCAUUCUUCGGUUCUUUCUUUCAAUUUUGCUUCCAAACAGUGAGCUUUGCUUAAUAAACAAAAUAUACAAUAAACUAAGUCAUAAUUAAUCAAAAAGAACUAUUAAAUAUCUAUAUUUUUAGACCCAAAUAAAUAUAUAAA